UACGAAGGGGGCUAGCGUUGCUCGGAAUUAUUGGGUACGGUAAAGGGCGCGUGAGGUCGGUUUGUUAAGUCAGCUGAUUGAAAGCCCGGGGCUCAACCCCGGAGGGUCAGCUGAUACUGGGCAGACUAGAGUACAGAAGAGGUAACGUGGAAUUCCCGGUGUAGCGGUGGAAAUGCGUAGAUAUCGGGAGGAACACCAGUGGCGAAGGCGGCUCACGUGGCCCGGUACUGACGCUGAGGUGCGAAAGCGUGGGGAGCAACAGG
rnacentral:rRNA from 1 species